CCCCUUCUUUAAUCAUGUGAACCAUCUCUCCAGAGCCAGGAGAAGAAACACAUCAUUCAGGAAAAUGGACAGCCACAUUUUCUUUCAAGCUGAGCUGUUUCUCGUGGGUUUCUUGACAUGAGGCAAUGGCCAACAGGAAAUAUAGAACCAUCUUCUGCCCAAUACAUGGGUAUCAGACUUGGUACCAGGAUAUACAGGAACUCCAAUUGUUACAAGAACCAACUGAUCCUGA